rnacentral:SRP_RNA from 1 species
GUCGGUCAUGUUGGCGCAGGCCUAUAGUCCCAGCUACUCAGGAGGCUGAGGCAGAAGGAUCGCUGGAACCCAGGAGCUCUGGGAUGUUGUGAGCUAUGCUGAUUGCAUCUCCAUACUAAGUUUGGCAUCAAUAUGGUGACCUCCCAGGAGUGGGGGACCACCGUGUUGCCCAAGGAGGGGUGAACACUGCCAGGUUGGAAAUGGAGCAGGUCAAAAGUCCCGUGCUGUGCCGGGCACAGUGGCUCACGCCUGUAAUCCCAGCACUUU